rnacentral:tRNA from 1 species
AGUAAAGUCAGCUAAAGUUAAGCUUUUGGGCCCAUACCCCGAGAAUGUUGGUUCAACCCCUUCCUUUACUA